rnacentral:tRNA from 1 species
CAACCGUGGGGUUCGGUCCCCGGGGUCCUGACCUUCCGGGGGUCGCCGACCCGGAGCUACCACGGUUCGGGUCCCGUGCCGGCCGC